GUGCUUGCUUUGGCAGCAUAUAUACUAAAAUUGGAACGAUACAGAGAAGAUUAGCAUGGCCCCUGAACAAGAAUGACAUGCAAAUUCGUGAAGCGUUUCAUAUUAAA
ensembl:snRNA U6 U6 spliceosomal RNA